AAUACCGAGGCGAUCGGGCGAACUGUGGUUAAGGAACUCGGCAAAUUACCCCCGUAACUUCGGGAGAAGGGGGGCCACAGACCGUGAAACCCCAUGCGGGUGGCAGCGGUAGGUGGCCGCAGAGACCAGGGGGAAGCGACUGUUUACUAAAAACACAGGUCCGUGCGAAGUCGUAAGACGAUGUAUACGGACUGACGCCUGCCCGGUGCUGGAACGUUAAGGGGACCGGUUAGUCCGCAAGGGCGAAGCUGAGAACUUAAGCGCCAGUAAACGGCGGUGGUAACUAUAACCAUCCUAAGGUAGCGAAAUUCCUUGUCGGGUAAGUUCCGACCUGCACGAAUGGCGUAACGACUUCCCUACUGUCUCAACCACAGGCCCGGCGAAAUUGCACUACGAGUAAGGAUGCUCGUUACGCGCGGAAGGACGGAAAGACCCCGGGACCUUCACUAUAGCUUGACAUUGGUACUCGAAUUGAAGUGUGUAGGAUAGGUGGGAGACUAUGAAGCUCGGACGCCAGUCCGGGUGGAGUCAACGUUGAAAUACCACUCUGUUGAAUUUGGGUAUCUAACUUCGGACCGUGAUCCGGUUCAGGGACAGUGUCUGGUGGGUAGUUUAACUGGGGCGGUUGCCUCCUAAAAUGUAACGGAGGCGCCCAAAGGUUCCCUCAGCCUGGUUCAAUCAGGUGUUGAGUGCAAGUGCACAAGGGAGCUUGACUGUGAGACUGACAGGUCGAGCAGGGACGAAAGUCGGGACUAGUGAUCCGGCACCGGCGAGUGGAAGCGGUGUCGCUCAACGGAUAAAAGGUACCCCGGGGAUAACAGGCUGAUCUUCCCCAAGAGUCCAUAUCGACGGGAUGGUUUGGCACCUCGAUGUCGGCUCGUCGCAUCCUGGGGCUGGAGUAGGUCCCAAGGGUUGGGCUGUUCGCCCAUUAAAGCGGCACGCGAGCUGGGUUUAGAACGUCGUGAGACAGUUCGGUCCCUAUCCUCCGCGCGCGCAGGAGACUUGAGAAGAGCUGUCCCUAGUACGAGAGGACCGGGACGGACGAACCUCUGGUGUGCCAGUUGUCAUGCCAAUGGCACGGCUGGUUAGCUACGUUCGGAAGGGAUAACCGCUGAAAGCAUCUAAGCGGGAAGCCUGCUUCAAGAUGAGGUCUCCCACCCCCUCGAGGGUUAAGGCCCCCAGCAAGACCACUGGGUUGAUAGGCCAGAAGUGUAAGCCUGGUAACAGGUUCAGCCGACUGGUACUAAUAGGCCGAGGACUUC
rnacentral:rRNA from 1 species